GUAGCUUAACCUUCGGGAGGGCGCUUACCACUUUGUGAUUCAUGACUGGGGUGAAGUCGUAACAAGGUAACCGUAGGGGAACCUGCGGUUGGAUCACCUCCUUACCUUAAAGAA
rnacentral:rRNA from 4 species